GUUAUUUAUCGCCAUGGUAGAAUUCCGUCUUGAGUGCAGUAAUCUAGACAUGAAGACAAUCAGGAGACUGUGUCAAGUAAUCUUGAAAUAUGGCUGGGAGAUUACCAUUACACAAGUCAUUUACAGAAUGACAGAAAUGCCGCUGUGAAGCAAAUCACUGACUGUUUACUCUUCUACUUUCAGAACAAACACAGUAACCACUUACAGAUUCAAGACCUGUACAUGAUCCAGUCUGGUGACUGAUGUCAUGAAGAUCAUCUCAAGCCGUCCAGGAUGCCCAAAGGAUGCAACUCUGCACAGACUAGCUAUGAUUCCAGUGACGGCACCAGCCCUGACCCUUUAAAUGAUCUGAGGAGGAUCAAUGCAGGAGUCAAUGAUUACUGCAAAUCAUGCUAAUCACAAAGACACGAAGUCUCAGAUCAACAGUAAGUAGAUCUUGACCUACACUGGAAAAGGGCAUUAGGAUGUGGAGUGUAUCCCCUUGUGAGAUGGAUUAUUUUAAUACAAUCAAAAUUAGUUA